UGGGGAAUAUUGGACAAUGGGCGCAAGCCUGAUCCAGCCAUGCGGCGUGUGUGAAGAAGGCCUUAUGGUUGUAAAGCACUUUAAGCGAGGAGGAGGCUACGUUAGUUAAUACCUAGAGAUAGUGGACGUUACUCGCAGAAUAAGCACCGGCUAACUCUGUGCCAGCAGCCGCGGUAAUACAGAGGGUGCAAGCGGUAAUCGGAUGUACUGGGCGUAAAGCGCGCGUAGGCGGCUAAUUAAGUCAAAUGUGAAAUCCCCGAGCUGAACUUGGGAAUUGCAUUGGAUACUGGUUAGCUAGAGUGUGGGAGAGGAUGGUAGAAUUCCAGGUGUAGCGGUGAAAUGCGUAGAGAUCUGGAGGAAUACCGAUGGCGAAGGCAGCCAUCUGGCCUAACACUGACGCUGAGGUGCGAAAGCAUGGGGAGCAAACAGG
rnacentral:rRNA from 1 species